rnacentral:rRNA from 1 species
GUCGAGCGGACAGAUGGGAGCUUGCUCCCUGAUGUUAGCGGCGGACGGGUGAGUAACACGUGGGUAACCUGCCUGUAAGACUGGGAUAACUCCGGGAAACCGGGGCUAAUACCGGAUGGUUGUUUGAACCGCAUGGUUCAAACAUAAAAGGUGGCUUCGGCUACCACUUACAGAUGGACCCGCGGCGCAUUAGCUAGUUGGUGAGGUAACGGCUCACCAAGGCAACGAUGCGUAGCCGACCUGAGAGGGUGAUCGGCCACACUGGGACUGAGACACGGCCCAGACUCCUACGGGAGGCAGCAGUAGGGAAUCUUCCGCAAUGGACGAAAGUCUGACGGAGCAACGCCGCGUGAGUGAUGAAGGUUUUCGGAUCGUAAAGCUCUGUUGUUAGGGAAGAACAAGUACCGUUCGAAUAGGGCGGUACCUUGACGGUACCUAACCAGAAAGCCACGGCUAACUACGUGCCAGCAGCCGCGGUAAUACGUAGGUGGCAAGCGUUGUCCGGAAUUAUUGGGCGUAAAGGGCUCGCAGGCGGUUUCUUAAGUCUGAUGUGAAAGCCCCCGGCUCAACCGGGGAGGGUCAUUGGAAACUGGGGAACUUGAGUGCAGAAGAGGAGAGUGGAAUUCCACGUGUAGCGGUGAAAUGCGUAGAGAUGUGGAGGAACACCAGUGGCGAAGGCGACUCUCUGGUCUGUAACUGACGCUGAGGAGCGAAAGCGUGGGGAGCGAACAGGAUUAGAUACCCUGGUAGUCCACGCCGUAAACGAUGAGUGCUAAGUGUUAGGGGGUUUCCGCCCCUUAGUGCUGCAGCUAACGCAUUAAGCACUCCGCCUGGGGAGUACGGUCGCAAGACUGAAACUCAAAGGAAUUGACGGGGGCCCGCACAAGCGGUGGAGCAUGUGGUUUAAUUUGAAGCAACGCGAAGAACCUUACCAGGUCUUGACAUCCUCUGACAAUCCUAGAGAUAGGACGUCCCCUUCGGGGGCAGAGUGACAGGUGGUGCAUGGUUGUCGUCAGCUCGUGUCGUGAGAUGUUGGGUUAAGUCCCGCAACGAGCGCAACCCUUGAUCUUAGUUGCCAGCAUUCAGUUGGGCACUCUAAGGUGACUGCCGGUGACAAACCGGAGGAAGGUGGGGAUGACGUCAAAUCAUCAUGCCCCUUAUGACCUGGGCUACACACGUGCUACAAUGGACAGAACAAAGGGCAGCGAAACCGCGAGGUUAAGCCAAUCCCACAAAUCUGUUCUCAGUUCGGAUCGCAGUCUGCAACUCGACUGCGUGAAGCUGGAAUCGCUAGUAAUCGCGGAUCAGCAUGCCGCGGUGAAUACGUUCCCGGGCCUUGUACACACCGCCCGUCACACCACGAGAGUUUGUAACACCCGAAGUCGGUGAGGUAACCUUUUAGGAGCCAGCCGCCGAAGG